rnacentral:rRNA from 1 species
CUGGCGGCGUGCUUAACACAUGCAAGUCGACGAAGCAUUCCAACUCUCGGAGGAAGAAUGACUGAGUGGCGGACGGGUGAGUAACGCGUGGGUAACCUGCCUUAUACAGGGGGAUAACAGUUAGAAAUGACUGCUAAUACCGCAUAACCCGCUAGUACCGCAUGGUACAGACGGAAAAGAUUUAUCGGUAUAAGAUGGACCCGCGUCUGAUUAGCUAGUUGGUGAGGUAAUGGCUCACCAAGGCGACGAUCAGUAGCCGGCUUGAGAGAGUGAACGGCCACAUUGGGACUGAGACACGGCCCAAACUCCUACGGGAGGCAGCAGUGGGGAAUAUUGCACAAUGGGGGAAACCCUGAAUGCAGCAACGCCGCGUGAAGGAAGAAGUAUUUCGGUAUGUAAACUUCUAUCAGCAGGAAAGAAAAUGACGGUACCUGACUAAGAAGCCCCGGCUAACUACGUGCCAGCCGCCGC